CCUACGGGAGGCAGCAGUGAGGAAUAUUGGUCAAUGGGCGUAAGCCUGAACCAGCCAAGUCGCGUGAGGGAUGAAGGUUCUAUGGAUCGUAAACCUCUUUUAUAAGGGAAUAAAGUGUGGGACGUGUCCUGUUUUGUAUGUACCUUAUGAAUAAGGAUCGGAUAACUCCGUGCCAGAAGCCGCGGUAAUACGGAGGAUUCGAGCGUUAUCCGGAUUUAUUGGGGUGAAAGGGGACGUAGGCGGCCUUUUAAGUCAGCGGUGAAAGUCUGUGGCUCAACCAUAGAAUUGCCGUUGAAACUGGAGGGCUUGAGUAUGUUUGAGGCAGGCGGAAUGUGUGGUGUAGCGGUGAAAUGCUUAGAUAUCACGCAGAACCCCGAUGGCGAAGGCAGCCUGCCAAGCCAUGACUGACGCUGAUGCACGAAAGCGUGGGGAUCAAACAGGAUUAGAUACCCCGGUAGUC
rnacentral:rRNA from 1 species